rnacentral:rRNA from 1 species
GUGGGGAAUAUUGGGCAAUGGGCGCAAGCCUGACCCAGCAACGCCGCGUGAGGGAAGAAGGCUUUCGGGUUGUAAACCUCUGUCCUUGGUGACGAAACAAAUGACGGUAGCCAAGGAGGAAGCCCCGGCUAACUACGUGCCAGCAGCCGCGGUAAUACGUAGGGGGCGAGCGUUGUCCGGAAUUACUGGGCGUAAAGGGUGCGUAGGUGGCCUUUUAAGUUGGAUGUGAAAUACCCGGGCUUAACUUGGGGGGUGCAUCCAAAACUGGGAGGCUAGAGUGCAGGAGAGGAAAGCGGAAUUCCUAGUGUAGCGGUGAAAUGCGUAGAUAUUAGGAGGAACACCAGUGGCGAAGGCGGCUUUCUGGACUGUAACUGACACUGAGGCACGAAAGCGUGGGGAGCAAACAGGAUUAGAAACCCGAGUAGUCC